AGUCUCACUUCCUCCCUCGGCUGAGCUGCAGGAGACUCAGAGAUGGCCUUGGCCUCACCCAGCUGUGCUGUCCCCACACAGCCGGCUGCUUUGACAUUUAAAGGACUAGUCCGAUCCUGCUGGGUCGCAUUCUUGAGCAACUCCGGCGCUGUGGCCCUGCACUUUCUGGAGGACUGAGUGUUUUACUCAGCCUUCACCUAUGAGGAGCCCGUGAGACCCAGGCAUGGAGCCCUUUGUGCCUCAGCCAGCCAAGCCCAGAUCCAGCCACGUGGACGUGUGCUGACAGCACCGUCGAUGCAUGCACAGUCUCCACCAAGCUGGGACAAAGGCAGAGCCAUCAGUAGCCACGUCGGGGAGAACAGAAGGCAUUCUGGGAACGCGGUGCUCUCACAUCCUGCAAAGUACAGGCCUGCAGAGCAGAUGGCAGGGACUUCAAAAGCUAAGUCACCUUGAAAGAUAAUGGCACAAAGGGCGAUUGGGGGUGGGGUGGGUGGGAGGCUUUUGUACCCUUUUGCAACAAGGAAGCAGAAAAGACAAAAGCUAUUUGCCAGCCUGGUGCGGGAAUCAAUAGAAUAGAGAGAUGGUUCUGCUGCAAUUUCCAUCAAGGGUGGCCAAGCCUCCAGUCUUCUUGUCCAGAAGCAGCUGAGCCUUGACAACCUCUCCUCCCCUUCACCAUGCCCCGACUGAUCUCCUAAUGGAGCCCCACCCCUCGAGCCCCUGGGCCUGUGGAAGAGGUUUCAAAGGAGUGGCUGGAAGGCUUGGUGGAAUCGCUUAUUACGGCUCCUCUCCCGGCCCGCGGCUUGGUGGCUGAGCACGUCAUCAUCAUUGGCAGGCAGAGCAUUAUGGUUUGGAAGAAAUGGAAACGGCAUGGAAGUCCCAUGUGGGCAGAGCCUGCACACCAAAAUUGGAGGGCUGAGAGUCUUCUAGACUGCAAAGGGUUUGACUCAGCCCAAAGAGGACUCUGCCAGGAAGCUGUCAGGCACCUGAGGCCACCUGCCUCUCCUCCGCUUCAGGAAUAACCAUCAGUACUGCAUCUUGGCUCUGAGGGGCACUGGGCAUCACGAUGCCCACUCAAAGCAGCUAGGGCACGUUGAUCUCUGCAUCUCCAUACAGAUGUCCGAGGAAAUGAUCCCAUAGCCUCAUCUCUGUUUCAGAGGCAGAGUCCACCAUAAUCUAGCCCAUUGCUCUCAACCAGACAGAGCGCACCUCCUGGCCACUAGGUAAGACAAUGCCCGGAGAGAAACUCCAUUGCUAGGGCAUUGGCAAAAGAUUUGCAGACCCUGACACCUGACUCAACCUUGCUCUCCUCCAAUCGGUGCCUCCGACUGCACCCACCCAAGAGAGUGAAGACCAAAGUGCUUCUACCAAGAGGAUUCCAGAAGAUGCAGGAUUUUUCCUAAGGCAGGAGAAAACCCUAGUUCAUAGACAGCCAGGAUAAAAACCCUGGAAGACCAUGAGCCAAGGUGAACGAA